ACAUGAAUCAACGUCAGUAUCAUCCACUGGAGGAGCUAGUCCAUCAGCUACUGUUGAUGUCAAUAAAGCCAAGAGAGUGAUCAAUGAUGUUCUUGUAUCUCAUUAUGCUGAUCUCAAUUCUUUGCCUAAGAAAGGUCUUUCUGAACUUGCUAACCAGCUUUACACAGUUUGUCUGGUCAAUAAUGCAGUUAAAGAGGCUCCUUUGAUGCAAGAGUGCAUUGAUGAGUUUAAGGCUAGUCUUAGUUUUAAGAGAACGUUGCCUAAAGUAGAGGAGCACUGUCAAAAGUUUUUGAAUUCAUUCAUUGCUGUAAGAGGCAGUUAUGCUGAUGCAGCUGAAACUUUAGGUGAGGACUGGAUUGAAGCUCUUAGGAAUGAACUGGGAUUUGAUUUUAAUAUUGAUAUUGAUGUUUAAUGCAUGUAUAUUUUAAUGCUUGUUUUGUUCAAAAUGCUUGAAAAUUUGAUUAA
rnacentral:lncRNA from 1 species